GAUGAACGCUGGCGGCGUGCCUAAUACAUGCAAGUCGAGCGAAUGGAUUAAGAGCUUGCUCUUAUGAAGUUAGCGGCGGACGGGUGAGUAACACGUGGGUAACCUGCCCAUAAGACUGGGAUAACUCCGGGAAACCGGGGCUAAUACCGGAUAACAUUUUGAACCGCAUGGUUCGAAAUUGAAAGGCGGCUUCGGCUGUCACUUAUGGAUGGACCCGCGUCGCAUUAGCUAGUGGGUGAGGUAACGGCUCACCGAGGCCACGAUGCGUAGCCGACCUGAGAGGGUGAUCGGCCACACUGGGACUGAGACACGGCCCAGACUCCUACGGGAGGCAGCAGUAGGGAAUCUUCCGCAAUGGACGAAAGUCUGACGGAGCAACGCCGCGUGAGUGAUGAAGGCUUUCGGGUCGUAAAACUCUGUUGUUAGGGAAGAACAAGUGCUAGUUGAAUAAGCUGGCACCUUGACGGUACCUAACCAGAAAGCCACGGCUAACUACGUGCCAGCAGCCGCGGUAA
rnacentral:rRNA from 1 species